rnacentral:misc_RNA from 1 species
GAUGAAGAACGUAGCGAAAUGCGAUAAGUAGUGUGAAUUGCAGAAUUCAGUGAAUCAUCGAAUCUUUGAACGCACAUUGCGCCCCUUGGUAUUCCAUGGGGCAUGCCUGUUCGUGCGUCAUUUGUACCUUCAAGCUUUGCUUGGUGUUGGGUGUUUGUCUCGCCUUUGCGUGUAGACUCGCCUUAAAAUAAUUGGCAGCCGGCGUAUUGAUUUCGGAGCGCAGUACAUCUCGCGCUUUGCACUCAUAACGACAGCGUCCAAAAGUACAUUUUACACUCUUGACCUCGGAUCAGGUAGGGAUACCCGCUGAACUUAAGCAUAUCAAUAAGCGGAGGA